AUUAUUUUGGCAGAUUAGUGCAAUGAAUUUAGAAUUCUUUUAUGUAAAA
rnacentral:tRNA from 1 species